GUCUCUAAUCCUUCUCAUGACUUGAUAAAGUCAGUGGGAGGAUCUACGAUAUACCGGUUGAACCCACUAGUCACUAAUCCUUCUCAUCACUUGGUGAAGUCAGUGAAAGGAUUAUGACUUGUAGGUCGACUGAUGUCCUCUAAGAUAUAUUAAUCAAAUUUUUUAAAUUAUUAGGUCCAUAAAAUGAGCUAGUUAUAAGGAUAACUAGAUCAUAGCCUCCCAUUAAGGUACGUGAAAAUGAGUCC
rnacentral:lncRNA from 1 species